UACUUGUAUUACGCACAUUGGAAUUUUGGACAGUACAUUGCAUACAUCUCUUUUUAAAAUAGUUUUUCUUCAACAAAUCCUCUCGUCCACAGAAGUUACUGUCUUUUCUGGGAAGGUCCACAGACAUGAGUUGACAAGCAGUAGGUACUCCUGAAACAAUGGGGGAAAAAAAUUAACAAUACGCUGGGAUGUUCAGAACAUUAUACAAUAGGCCUGUGGAUUGGUCAAAGUCCCCUGGAUAAGCUUUGUGUAAUUCUUUUGUCAAUACAUCUCUAAGAACAUCUGAAGCACGUUCCAGAAGCACUCUCAAGCGAAGGUUGUAUGUGGAGCAUAUGUGGUAUUCAUGACCAGGGAUGGGGAGAGAGCUACCCGUGUUUGGAAAAAUAAGCUUCCUGAAUUAUCAAGGAUACAAAAGGAAAUUUGAUGUCCCAGCUUUUGUUAGAAAAUAUGGAGGAAAGAACCCAGCGGGCAAAUUGUUGUUUUAAUGUUGAAACAACGUUGAACCAUAAC